GAGAUUUGAGUCAAACCGAGGCAGCCUGACUUCAGAGACUGUCUUCCUUGUCAUCCAGGCGCCACGAAUGACCGUCCCUUCCC
rnacentral:lncRNA from 1 species